rnacentral:rRNA from 1 species
UGGGGAAUCUUCCGCAAUGGACGAAAGUCUGACGGAGCAACGCCGCGUGAGUGAUGACGGCCUUCGGGUUGUAAAGCUCUGUUAAUCGGGACGAAUGGUUCUUGUGCGAAUAGUGCGAGGAUUUGACGGUACCGGAAUAGAAAGCCACGGCUAACUACGUGCCAGCAGCCGCGGUAAUACGUAGGUGGCAAGCGUUGUCCGGAAUUAUUGGGCGUAAAGCGCGCGCAGGCGGAUUGGUCAGUCUGUCUUAAAAGUUCGGGGCUUAACCCCGUGAUGGGAUGGAAACUGCCAAUCUAGAGUAUCGGAGAGGAAAGUGGAAUUCCUAGUGUAGCGGUGAAAUGCGUAGAUAUUAGGAAGAACACCAGUGGCGAAGGCGACUUUCUGGACGAAAACUGACGCUGAGGCGCGAAAGCCAGGGGAGCGAACGGG